AUCGAACGCUGGCGGCAGGCCUAACACAUGCAAGUCGAACGAGUGGCGGACGGGUGAGUAAUGUCUGGGAAACUGCCUGAUGGAGGGGGAUCACUACUGGAAACGGUAGCUAAUACCGCAUACCAUCAGAUGUGCCCAGAUGGGAUUAGCUUGUUGGGGGGUUAACGGCUCACCAAGGCGACGAUCCCUAGCGGGUCUGAGAGGGUGACCGACCAAACUGGAACUGAGACACGGUCCGGACUCCUACGGGAGGCAGCAGUGGGGAAUAUUGCACAAUGGGCGAAAGCCUGAGACAGCAAGGCCGCGUGUAUGAAGAGGGCCUUCGGGUUGUAAAGUCCUUUCAGCGGGGAGGCGUUACCCGCAGAAGAAGCACCGGCUAACUCCGUGCCAGCAGCCGCGGUAAUUC
rnacentral:rRNA from 1 species